rnacentral:lncRNA from 1 species
UCGGAAUAUUAUCGCUUUUCUACGAGAAAAAUGUCGUAAAAAUUGAUUUUAAACAGCGAUUGACAUGCUUCGAAGUACGGUAAUGGAAUACUUAGAAUUUUAUUGUCACGAAUUGCGCCAAGCGCGUGACACUUCUUUACUAUUUCGGAUAGUGUCUGGAACGCACGAACAAAACGCCGCUAUUCGGAUAUAACGAUGGAUUAUUUUGGACCAAACCAACAUUUGUUAUUGAAGUAGCUGUCCUGGGUGUGUAUUCUGACGAAGACAACAAAAGGGGUGGACCUCGCAAAAUCCAGGAAUGGCAACAGCUGGUGUCUGACUGCGACUGAUUAUUUCUGUGGUUCUCCUGAGGUCAUCUUGAGUGACCGAGGUCGUGAACUCUGGAACAAGGUUUGGAUGAAUGGACCAACCACACCCUCAAGACUGCCAUGGCCAAGUCCCUUGACGGGUUCCUGGAAUGGUGGGAGGACAACCUGAAGGUCAUUCCCUUUGCACACAUCAGCAGCAUCCAGGCCUCCAGAGUACUCACCCUAUCGCCUGCUGUAUGGACGGGAGCUGCAGCUGUUGACUGAGGUGAGACUGAACAUGGACAAGGCGCAAAAGAAACAGAAGGAGAGCUACCGGAGGAGAAUCAAGAAAGGGACCAAGAGCUUCGACAUCCGGCCAAAUGAAACCUUGCUGCUCUUUCACUCCUAGCUGGGCUCACCAUCCGUUAAGGAUCUAGGGGUUCUGCUAACACCCAGAAAUGGAUCCAGCUGAUGUCUUCCAUUA